rnacentral:rRNA from 1 species
GAUGAACGCUGGCGGCGUGCUUCAUACAUGCAAGUCGAACGAGGUCCAUGGGAGCUUGCUCCCGGAAGACCUAGUGGCGAACGGGUGCGUAACACGUGAGAAACCUGUCCCCGACAGUGGGAUAACAGUUGGAAACGACUGCUAAUACCACAUACCACCGGUGAAUCGCAUGAUUCGCCGAUGAAAGUUCCGGCGGUUGGGGAGGGUCUCGCGGCCUAUCAGCUAGUUGGAGAGGUAACGGCUCACCAAGGCAUCGACGGGUAGCUGGUCUGAGAGGAUGAUCAGCCACACUGGGACUGAGACACGGCCCAGACUCCUACGGGAGGCAGCAGUAGGGAAUCUUGCACAAUGGGCGAAAGCCUGAUGCAGCAACGCCGCGUGCGGGAAGAAGGCCCUAGGGUUGUAAACCGCUUUCAGCAGGGAAGAAAAUGACGGUACCUGCAGAAGAAGGUGCGGCCAACUACG